GAUUACUGUUCAGCAGAAGCUAAUUAACUUUAUUUUAUGUUGUGUCUCUUGUACUUAACAGUAAGGAAACGUGUCCCAUGAACUCUCUAGUAGACUCCCCAAUAUCUUGCUGGAGAGACUUAGGUCAUAUAAAUACCUCUCUAAACCAGUCUUUAAGCAGGAGGAUGGUCUUAUUGUGAAUGGCUCCAGCUAGUAGUUUCAACCUUCACUACACAUUAGAAUCACUUGGAGGAGGACUUAAGCUCCCUUGAUGCUUACAAUGUGCAGCCACAGUUAGCCUACAUCAGGGUUUCUCAACCUCAGCACUAUUGAUAUUUUGGCUCAGAUCAUUGUUUUAGGGGCUGUCUUGCACAUUGUGGAAUGUUUAGCAGCAUCCUUGGCCUCUACCCACUAGACGCCAGUAGCACCUCUCCAAUUGUGACAGUCAAAAAUGUAUACAGGCAUUGCCAAAUGUUCCUUGGGGGUUAAGGUUGCCCCAGGUUGCCCCACUCUCUUAAACUAAUUAGCGUUUACCCUUAGGUCUCACAUGGGAGAGGUGGACAUCCAAUUAAAUUAGUACUCUGCCAGCAGGGAAGGAAGAAAUGGAUGCUAGUAGGUAACCAACAGUGUCUGCUGCAUGGAGUAAGGCUGUUUUCAGUUUAGAAUCUUUGAAACUAACAUGAGGUAGCUUCUGUAUGUUUACUAUUCUCAGGUGUAUCAUCUUUGUAACACUGGCAAUUGGAGAUGUUCCUGAUCACCUGUGGCACCUAUAACCCUUUACCAGCUUUCCAGCACUUGGUGACAGUUUGUCUCAAUUGUCCAUAAAUUGACACUUGGAUUAGCCUGGUCUGUCCCAACAAGAUUAUCAGCUCCUUGACAGCAGGGAUAUGCCCUCUCUUCAUGGUGUAUUCCUCAUGUCAUGUUAGAGAUGCAGUAGGUAUUUAGCAGUUAUAUUGGUUCACUGUGUAUUCAUUGAGUGUUUAUUA
rnacentral:lncRNA from 10 species